CAGAGUGAUGUCCUCAAUAAUUUUAGUAUUCAUGAAAUUUGAAAUUAUUCAGUGAAAAAACAAUAGCUAUAUUUUUCGCGGGAGAAAAAAUACCGCAUACGGUAUAUUUUGUACCUAAAAGAGUAGGAUUUACAGAACUCUUGAAUAACGAGAUAAUUUGUAGGGAAUCAUUUCUGAGAGAUAUAUAAAAUAGUUUAAAAACAUAAAAUCAAAACGAAGGUUAUAUGUGAAUUAAUGGAAGAAGUAUUGUACUGUCAUAGAUUCAUGUCAUUAAGUGUGUUUAAAGUUAUUUAUUACUAAUAAAUGUUAUCAAAAGUUUUAUUGUUAAUAUAUGAAUUGAAGGUGUACUUUUAACAAUAACUGCAAAAUCUGGGUAUACAAAAAUUAUUUUAAAUGCCAUCAAGACAAAUUUAUCUCGCUUAAAAUUAUCUGUAUGAGGUAACAUAUGCUUAACCGCCCUUUGUCAAUGCCGCACCUGGAAUCAUCUAUAAAAAGCGCGGGGCAUUUUGUUACGUCAUAUAUUUCGUAAAAUGUUGUUGACGUUAUAAUGUUUUUUUCGUCAUGAGUUAUAAACAUUCUGCUCUUGAACUAAAAUUGAUGGGCCGUUCUUAAACUAUGGACUUGGAACAUACUGAAUUAUGAUGUGUUUCAUUUACAUAUUUCAUUUGCUAACCCAGAUAAGUGCAUCAUAAGUGUAGUAGUCAUGCCAUUCAGGAGUUUCAAAGUAAAAAAAUGGGAUAUGCGGAACUGGAUAGAAACUGGCAAAGAAGGAUUGCGAAUUUGUCUUGACGUUUAUAAAGAUCUAUUUCGAAAUUCAUAGGGAUUCUAUUCAGCUUAAAAGAGCAUCUAUGCCGGUUACUGCAGGACAACGUACUCCUGUCAAGGAUCAUGUUUAACUUCGCAGAGAUAUUAUACAGGAUGCGGAUUUUUGUGGUUGAGCAGAUGUACCAGAUACCGAAUCGUUUACAAGCAAUGUGCACAAACAUGCUAUAGAAGUGAAUGCUGUCUGGGCUAUUCCGGAAAUGGCUGUAGCACCCCGUUGUGUUUUGGGUCAUAUUCGUGUCCUAACGGUGGAAAAUGCCAAUCUCCAGACAUGUGUAGCUGUCCUCGUGGCUUCUCCUCGCCCAGGUUUUAUGAUAUCAACGAAUGCAGCACCAGCGGUCAUGGGUGUCAACACAAUUGUGUAAAUACUCAUGGCUCUUACCGUUGUACAUGUAGAGCAGGCUAUACACUGACCUCGGAUCUCAAGUCAUGUCAAGGUAUAUAAUGUAGUAUAUGUAUAGUUGAGAGUUUAUCAGCCUCGUCCUGGCUACGUAGGACAUAGCUUCAAAUUUCAGCUUUACUGGUACAGGAAGACAUCAAGCGCAUGUCCAUGUUUUAUUUCAGGCAUGAGCUGAGUAGAACCACCAACACUAUGUUAGCUACUUGGAGAGCUUACUCGUAUGAAAUAAUCCAAGUCCAACUGGAAGGGGAAGUGGUUUGAAGUCAUCGGCCUUAAUCACUCGGCCAUGGACUACCUAUACGAUAUCAAUAUCUUCCAAAUGCUUCUUACAUGAACACGUAAAGACUUAAUUGACUUAAAAAUUAAUCAAAGAAAAUAUGUUUACAGAAUUCUUGUUUGCUUAAAUAGCCAUGUCUACAUUUAAUACAUCUAUUUUGCUUCAACAUAACAGACUGUAGUAUUUUAUAUAUAAUGAUGUCUCUUUAAUUAUAACAUUUUUAUUAAUAGAAAAUAAUUAUGUGUCUAACAUAUUGAAACACAAACCAUUCAUCAUUGUAUAUAUGUAGCAAUAAUAGCUGUGUUCGGAAACUGCAAAACUAAAUAGGGUAUGAUUAAAUUACAUUAAAUAUUGCAAUAGCUGAAUUAAA